UAACAACGAAUGGCGAGAAGUCAGCAGAGGUCAUAGUAGCUGAUUGGUUGCAAACAUCAGUGAAGGAC
rnacentral:ncRNA from 1 species